CUAUACAGUGAACUGCGAAUGGCUCAUUAAAUCAGUUAUCGUUUAUUUGAUAAUACCUUACUACUUGGAUAACCGUGGUAAUUCUAGAGCUAAUACAUGCUAAAAAUCCCGACCUCUGGAAGGGAUGUAUUUAUUAGAUAAAAAACCAAUGUCUUGGACUCCUUGGUGAUUCAUGAUAACUUAACGAAUCGCAUGGCCUUGCGCCGGCGAUGGUUCAUUCAAAUUUCUGCCCUAUCAACUUUCGAUGGUAGGAUAGUGGCCUACCAUGGUUUCAACGGGUAACGGGGAAUUAGGGUUCUAUUCCGGAGAGGGAGCCUGAGAAACGGCUACCACAUCCAAGGAAGGCAGCAGGCGCGCAAAUUACCCAAUCCCAAUUCGGGGAGGUAGUGACAAUAAAUACUGAUACAGGGCUCUUUUGGGUCUUGUAAUUGGAAUGAGUACAAUUUAAAUCUCUUAACGAGGAACAAUUGGAGGGCAAGUCUG
rnacentral:rRNA from 1 species